GUCCACGCCCUAAACGAUGCGAACUGGACGUUGGGAGCAAUUAGGCUCUCAGUGUCGAAGCUAACGCGUUAAGUUCGCCGCCUGGGGAGUACGGUCGCAAGACUGAAACUCAAAGGAAUUGACGGGGCCGCACAAGCGGUGGAGUAUGUGGUUUAAUUCGAUGCAACGCGAAGAACCUUACCUGGCCUUGACAUCCACGGAAUCUUUGAGAGAUCAGAGAGUGCCUUCGGGAACCGUGAGACAGGUGCUGCAUGGCUGUCGU
rnacentral:rRNA from 1 species